GCUUUGUCUUUAGUUAUAAUAGAUAUGUUGUACUUUAUGUACUGUUGUUUUGCCAUUGCAUUGUCAGUUUGAAUUUUCCUCUUUUAUAUUACAUCUCUCUUUUGUUUUUUUUUUCUAAAUAAUGCCAAGAAAAGUUGAUUUCUAAGAUCUGUCACGUCCUUCAUCAUCAAUCUGACAUAACCAGUUCUGUCAUUUUCUUCGGUCAUUGCUCUUUCUUAUGGCUAGAAACCAUAGACAAGACUUGUAAGAAUGCACAGUAGAGGAUGGUGACCCUAUGAAUCCAUCAAGUCUUUUCAGUUCAAUGUUUC
rnacentral:lncRNA from 1 species